rnacentral:tRNA from 1 species
GGCCGGAUGGCGAAGUAGUCCAACGCGGUGGUCUGCAAAACCACUAUUCGCGGGUGCGAAUCCCGCUCCGGCCU